rnacentral:snRNA from 1 species
AGCUUUGCACAGUGGCAGUAUCAUAGCCAAUGAGGUUUAUCCGAGGCACGAUUAUUGCUAAUUGAAAACUUUUCCCAAUACCCCGCUCUGACAACUUACAAUAUAUUCGGCACUGACAAUUUUUGACAGUCUCUAUGGAGA